AGGCGAGGGGCGGCCUCGCAGGGCGGAGCGGCGGGGAAGGCGAGCCGGCAGCGGGAGCGGGCGUGCGAACCCCACGGGCCGAGCGCCUGCGAGAGGGGGAGGAGGAGCCGCCCCGCCGCCCGGGGAUGGUGAGGAGGAGGCGGCGGCUGCCGGCAGCCCAGUGAGGCCUUCGCUCGCCGCAGAGCCCGCCCGCCUCGCCGGCCGCCCCCUUCCCCCGCUCGCUCGCUGGCUCGCUCCCCCCUUCCCUCCCCUUCCCCUGACUCCCUCCCCGGCUCCCUUCCCCUGCCGCCGCCGCCGCCUCCUGCCCGGGUUCCAGCCAUAAAAAAAAGAAGGUGAGGAUAAUUUAUAGAAGAGAACAAGAGAAGGAGCUCUAACGUGACUCUCCCAAACACGGAAAAGAUGGUUCUGCUCCACCUUCUGUUGGAUGGUUGGUUGGACUGACUCCUUAAAGCAGGUUUCACUGCUGCAGUGCCUAGGGAAGUGAGUUAUCUCAUUAUUUAUGAAGUUAAUAACCUUUAAGGAAUUAAUAUGUACGCAAAACCGGUGUCACCAUGAUACAAUGCUGAUGUCAUGCUGUUCAUGAUUUACAGCACUUCGGCUGCGUGAGGACUAUUUCAGUGUUUAAAAAAGUAUUACAGAACUGCGUAUUGAAAAACAAGCAGAGAACACUAAGAGAAAGACCAAGUUGUUUAGCUUUUGACAGUAUUCAGUCCUGUACAGACACAGACUGGAGCAGCCAGGUCAUACUUACCUCAGAUGCCCUCUCUUCACUGGGAACCAUUCCUAGAUGGCCAUAAAUAAGGGCUGUAAUCGUUCUUUUUUUUCUUUUUCCCCUCUAAGGAUUUUAUGGAAAAGGAACUUUUUCUGGUUUACACAUCUUCAGUAGUACAUUGACCUGUAGUUAACUUGCUCUUCUAUUCCGAGAAAUUACUCUUGCUUGCUGCCACUGUCUUCAAUAGCGUCUCUUACUAAAAUAGAUGUAUUAGGCACAGCUUGAAUGUGUGUUUCAAAAUACAGGAGAUAGAGCAGGUUUGCUGCUGCUGGAACUGUGUCUAUGGACAUCUUGUUAGACAGUGAGAGGGGAUACCCAGCUCUUCACAUUGCAAAUUAAAAAUAGCUUAACUUUCUCCGUGUGAAGUAAGUGCUGUGACAUGGCUGACUGAAGGACUGAGGUGGGACCCAUGCUGCAGGUUGGUGUCAGGAAGUAUUUAAUGUUUUUCCACUUUGUUGUGCCAUGGUUUCUUUACAAAACUCUCCACCCCCUUCACCACCCCUCUCCCCUGCAAAGAAGUGGGCAGGUAAAGACACAUCCUUGAGAGCACAGCUACAACAGCAAGUGGGAAAUGCUUCUGGGGUAGAAAUGGUAGGGAAAAGGCAGUCCAGGCUGCUUGGACACCACAGAGAGCAGAAAAAGUAGUCCCUCUGAACUUUAUAUUUCUUUCCUGGUCUGCUUUUUUUUGGCUCUGUUGUCAUUCAAAUUUGGAUUAUUAAAUGACAGUUCAGCUGAUGACAAGCAGGAAGCUGCCAAGUGGUAAUCCUGGCACAUGUUAAUGCAGGAAAACCUGGAGUAAGUUAGCUGCAGAUUGGAGCAUUCUGGUCCUUCAUGCUUUUUUAUGUUUUUAAUAAUAGUAUUGCCCUUUCUAUGGCCUACUUUGUCUUGUAACUUCCUUUUUUAUGUAUGGUUGUUGGAAAGGAUAUUGACUGCUCAGUGCCUCUAAAUGGUUGAAUUCAAGGUGCAGAGGUAGGAUUGCACAGUCCCUGCACCCUGUAUGACACAAAGUUAAAAGCGUUAACUUUCACACCUGGGUGUUGCAUUUCCAUACUCAAGCUGUGAUAAUCUUGGGGGUUUUGUUCAACACUUUGCAAAUUGCUCAAGCCUUUAAGUGAGGUCUAGUCUCCUUUUGACAUCAGCAAGCAAGUCUAGCUUGCACGGCUACUGUGCAUUAUACAUGGCCAUUUUGAAAGGAAAAAGCCCGCUGUGUUUGUCAGAUUCUAUCCUAAUUGCUCUGGAGCUCAAGGAGUUUGUUCCGAGGUAUCUCUGGCAGCUGUGGAUUACUGGUCUCUAUUCUGCAGCAUACGGUGUUCUCAUAUUUAUUUAUGAAAUUAGGAAUUCUUACAUGUCACUUGUUCCAAUCUAAUUUUUUGUGUCUUCCCUCCCUCAGGCAAACAUCUGUUUUGUGGAGUUGAUAAUUCUAACUAGUGAGAUCGGCAGAUUUGUAAUUUGGAAAAAAAAACCAAAACAAACUCACCUUGUUUCUGGGGAGAACUUCAACAUAAACUGUUAACUGGAAAAGCUGAGGAACAGUAACAAACAGUGUAGGUCUGUAGGCAGAGUGUCAGGGGAGUGACCUCCUUUCUCCGUCCGUUUCUGCUGGCAGUGAUGGAACUUGUUCAAAUUUGAGCUUUGUGCUUUGAACACUGCCUGUUUCAAAUCACUCUGAUGUGGUACAAAGCCCUCUGCCCCUGCUGGGGUUUCAGUUCUAGGUUGGAUUCAUUUUGACCACCUGUUUUCUUCCAUCCAGUGUUGUGUCUUAGUGAGUUAUGGGGAAUUAGUUGCUUUUAAAUCUAGUUUCUGAUGGAUGGCUAUCACCUGCAUGCUCAGAGAUAAUUGAUGCAGACGUGCCAACUGCAUGCAGAGAUGGUAUAUAUUUGUCAGGUGGGAAUGGAAUGUCUCUGUGGUAGGUGAGAGACUCCACUAAAAGCCAGCUCUUUGGUGGCAGUUUACAAAUGUUGCUGGGUUUUGUUUUAUUAAACUUAUUGGUUACUGCUGGGAAUUUGUCACCAAUUAGGUUUUUUGAUCACUCAAGUAAUACCAAAUUGAAUGGCAGCAUGGACACUUUGGGGAGCACAGAGGAAUUAAAGGAAAAACAGGGAAUAUUUGUACCACAAGCAGAAAAAUAAUCAGAUUCAAUUUAGAAAAAUAAUAAAAGCUAAUGCAUUUGGGAAGAGAUUACAUUCAGUGAGGGAGAGAAAUGCACAGAAUGUUUCUGUGGUAGUCAGCCAUGAGCAAGGCACAUUCUCAAUAAGAAAUGGCAAUCUUGAGCUAUUUAGAGAGAGAUUUUGUCUCAUAAAGCAGAGGGGUAAAAAUCCCAAGUUGUGCUUGGGUAUAUUUCAUUGUUAUAAAGGCAGCAGCAAACUGCAGUGCAGUUAAGGAAGAACAAUAAAAUUGAUCAGGGUGCUGUAAGGGCUGAUUUGGGAUAACAGUAAGGUAUGUAAGCUUAUCUAUGGUUGUUUGUAUACCCUAGAAGAGGUAAAAGUUAGAAAUACCAAAGGUAGAGAAGAUUCUUUUUUGGGAGUCAAGGAGAUCUGAGUAGGAUUAAGGGAAUGAAAGUACGAAAAAGUACAAAAAUCUGAAGCAGGAUAUUUAUUGUCAGAGGUUUAUCUCUAAGACACACUGUGUGCUAGUUAAUAGAUUAUUAUCAGGCUGUAAAGAAACCUUCCAGGAGAUGUUCUGGAAGUCUUACCAGGAAACAUUGAAAACUGGUCUUUGUGAUAUUUCAGAAUUUUUAUUGUUGCAAAUAAUGAGGUGGUGUUGCAGACAUGAAGGUCUACUAGGUAAGGUCUUGAAUCCACCUGUAAUUCAGACAGCUCCUGGUAGUAUUGUGAGUCUGCCAGUGAUCAGCCUGCUCACUCAAGGACUUUAGCAAGCCUGGUUUUGGCACCUCCACCUGCCAAGAUAAAUUCUUGUGGAGAGCUAAGCCCUUGUUUAAGAUUUGUAAUAAUAAUAGAACAGAAAAAUCCCAAAGCAACAAUGCAGCAAUGAAAACUACUCCCUGUUGUAUCCCUUGUUAUACAUCUGCGACAUGCUUUGAGAUGAUGGUGUACUCUUCUUUUGAUCCUUUUAGAAAUAGCUGGGAAGGAGGAAAACAGAGGAAAAACCCUCAUCCCUCUUGUGGAACCUUCUGCUGGAGUUCUGGAAUUUCAGAAGAGUGAUCUUUUGACAUAAACUGGUUUUUCAAGAGACAUUCCUGCCAUUAUGAAUGAAGUAGCGAUAGUGAAGGAAGGCUGGCUUCACAAACGAGGAGAAUAUAUCAAAACAUGGAGGCCGCGGUAUUUUCUUUUGAAGAAUGAUGGCACCUUCAUCGGCUACAAGGAACGGCCACAGGAUGUUGACCAGCGGGAAUCACCUUUAAAUAACUUCUCAGUAGCUCG